GGCGGCCCCGGCCGGAGAGGUCCCCCAGGAGGGAAGGGUAACAAAGGCGGCCCAGGUCAGCCAGGAAUUUCAGGAGAACCCGGAGCAAGAGGGCCACAGGGUCCAUCUGGCCCAACUGGGCCCCCAGGCUUAAUCGGUGAACAAGGCAUUCCUGGACCAAGGG